UGGGGAAUAUUGGACAAUGGGCGCAAGCCUGAUCCAGCAAUGCCGCGUGGGUGAAGAAGGUCUUCGGAUUGUAAAGCCCUUUCGGCGGGGACGAUGAUGACGGUACCCGCAGAAGAAGCCCCGGCUAACUUCGUGCCAGCAGCCGCGGUAAUACGAAGGGGGCUAGCGUUGCUCGGAAUUACUGGGCGUAAAGGGCGCGUAGGCGGCCCUGUUAGUCAGGCGUGAAAUUCCCGGGCUUAACCUGGGGACUGCGCUUGAGACGGCGGGGCUGGAGUGCGGAAGAGGGUCGCGGAAUUCCCAGUGUAGAGGUGAAAUUCGUAGAUAUUGGGAAGAACACCGGUGGCGAAGGCGGCGACCUGGUCCGUUACUGACGCUGAGGCGCGACAGCGUGGGGAGCAAACAGG
rnacentral:rRNA from 1 species